CAAUAGCGUAUAUUAAAGUUGUUGCAGUUAAAAAGCUCGUAGUUGGAUUUCGGGGCAGCCUGGCUGGUCCGCCGCAAGGCGAGUACUGGUCAGCCGCCCUUCCUCUCGAAAGCCCCGACUGCUCUUUAUUGCAGUGGUCGGGUAGUUCGGGACGUUUACUUUGAAAAAAUUAGAGUGUUCAAGGCAGGCCUACGCCUGAAUACAUUAGCAUGGAAUAAUGGAAGAGGACCUCGGUCCUAUUUUGUUGGUUUCCAGGACCGAAGUAAUGAUUAAGAGGGACAGUCGGGGGCAUUCGUAUUUAAUUGUCAGAGGUGAAAUUCUCGGAUUUAUGUAAGACGAACAACUGCGAAAGCAUUUGCCAAGGAUGUUUUCAUUAA
rnacentral:rRNA from 1 species